GGGGGGGGGGGGCGGGGGGCCGGGCGCGUGCGGGGCGGGCGGAUGGGGGGCGCUUGCUCCUGGCUUCAGCGGCGGACGGGUGAGUAAUGCCUAGGCAUCUGCCUGGUCGUGGGGGCUAACGUCCGGAAACGGGCGCUAAUACCGCAUACGUCCUGAGGGAGCAAGUGGGGGAUCUUCGGACCUCACGCUAUCAGAUGACCCUAGGUCGGAUUAGCUAGUUGGUGGGGUCAACGCCUACCCAGGCGACGAUCCGUACCUGGUCUGAGAGGAUAUCAGUCACACUGGAACUGAGAAACGGUCCAGACUCCUACGGGAGGCAGCAGUGGGGAAUAUUGGACAAUGGGCGAAAGCCUGAUCCAGCCAUGCCGCGUGUGUGAAGAAGGUCUUCGGAUUGUAAAGCACUUUAAGUUGGGAGGAAGGGCAGUAAGUUAAUACCUUGCUGUUUUGACGUUACCAACAGAAUAAGCACCGGCUAACUUCGUG
rnacentral:rRNA from 1 species